rnacentral:rRNA from 1 species
ACGGGGGGGGCAAGCGUUGUUCGGAAUUACUGGGCGUAAAGGGCUCGUAGGCGGCCAACUAAGUCGAACGUGAAAUCCCCGGGCUCAACCCGGGAACUGCGUCCGAUACUGGUUGGCUUGAAUUCGGGAGAGGGAUGUGGAAUUCCAGGUGUAGCGGUGAAAUGCGUAGAUAUCGGGAGGAACACCUGUGGCGAAGGCGGCUCACUGGACCACAACUGACGCUGAGGCGCGAAAGCUAGGGGAGCAAACAGGA